AGGAGUGUAGCUCAAUUGGGAGAGCGUCAGUCUCCAAAACUGAAGGUUAUGGGUUCGAUUCCUAUCACUCCUGCCA
rnacentral:tRNA from 1 species